GACGUAGGGCGCGAGCGUUGUCCGGAAUUAUUGGGCGUAAAGAGCUCGUAGGCGGUUUGUCGCGUCUGCUGUGAAAACCUAAGGCUCAACCUUGGGCUUGCAGUGGGUACGGGCAGACUAGAGUGCGGUAGGGGUGACUGGAAUUCCUGGUGUAGCGGUGGAAUGCGCAGAUAUCAGGAGGAACACCGAUGGCGAAGGCAGGUCACUGGGCCGCAACUGACGCUGGAGGAGCGAAAGCAUGGGGAGCGAACAGG
rnacentral:rRNA from 1 species